GGAAAAAAUGGAAAUGUAUGAGUGUAAAAUGUGCAUUUAUUCUCAGUGAUAAAAGCAAAAGGAAGAGCCCAAUUGAACCUUAAGGAGCAGGUGCCUGUCUGAUAUGAAAUCUGAGGUUCCUCAGCUAAACACACCUCUGCAGGAAAGAGCCCCAGACAUUGUUAAAGAACUAUGGUCAGACAACACUGUGGCCUUGUAUUUUUUUUUCUUGUCCUAGGAAUGAAGUUUUGUGACAAGAUUGAGUCUUAUGGCAGUGCUGACUGAGGACGAGACCAGGAAUUAUAUAACUAUGAGGAUGCUGGUGGCUAAAUUGAGGAGACACCUUACCAAGACCUCAUUUAUUUUAACACUUCCUGGGAGACCUUUAUUGUCAAACUCGACCAGAUUUAUUCAACAAACAGCAAUUCAAGAAAGCAGUGGAAAAGAGCUGAGUCACAGUGAAAGUGACAUUUCCCUUUGCAGCUGAAGAAACCACCGGCUGUGAUUAACUGCUUGACUAGUCCUCCAGUGUGAAGGAUCACAAUGGGAUCAAGAAGGCUUGGCUGGGCUAUGAGAAAGAAAAGAACUGAAUCAAAUUGGAGCUGGGGAAACUCAGUUCACAGGAUCCCCUAAAAGUUACAAAUGUCACAAGUGUGAGUGACCAUUCAUUUACUUAAUCAGGC
ensembl:lincRNA